GUCUUCCCAUCGUGAUUUCUUUCCCAGGUAUUUGGGAGAGAAAUGAUUGAGUCCUUACCAAUCCCAGGAUUUCUCCUGGUGUCCAGUCAAGAAAUAAUGGAUUUCUGCAUAGAUUUUGACCGUGUAUCACUGAAGUUGUGCAGGUAUUCCGAUAAGAAAUGUAGAGUCCUGGCUGAGCGCAGUGGCCCACGCCUGUAAUCCUGGCACUUUGGGAGGCCGAGGCUGGUG
rnacentral:lncRNA from 10 species